CUGUCCAGGUGCAGAAGAGAGGUUUGAUUGGAGUGGAAGCAGGUGAUGGAGCUCCUGUGCUAGCACUGCUUCCCAGGUUUCAGCCCCUCGGACCAAGCAAACGCCCCGGAACCUCCCCGUCAUAGACGGUUCACGCUGAGACGCUGAGGAGUUCAGCACGGGACGCGCGCUGCAGCAAGGGCUUUUCAGGCAGCAAACUCCAGCAGAGCGGGUGGUGAGGGCCCCGUGAGUAGCUCGGAACAUGCCACAGGGGACUUGCCAAGGGUCCUCUUCUAGCACACUGUUUCUUUUCCAUCUGUGGUGGCCAGAGGCAGCUCACCUUAGAAGAUUCGUGGCGUGAGAAGGUUCCCUUUACGCUGCUGGAAUUCGUAAAUGGAACUCUCCACCAGGCGAUAUGCUGGAGGUGCACUCCUUGAGUCGUCAGCUUGCCAGGACUCGACUGGAUUUAAACACAGAAAUGCAGAGACUGAGAAAUGAAAAUGAACUGUCAGCAGCUUUUGAAUCCAAAGCGCUGAACGUUGCCGUGAGCCCAGAAUAAUAAGCUGUGUUUCAAGACAUAGACCCUGCGGAUGAAAUAUACGUUCCAUAAACGGUUCUGACAACAACAUUAUGGAUAAGCUGCAUGAGCUUCUUGAUCCAAUUUGGUAGCAGAACACAUGGCAUUGUUUGGAAAUUACAGAAAUAUUUUAGCGAGGGUGUAAGGGAAAGUGAUGUUUAUAUUAGAGUUUGCAGUUUCACUUGUCUUUUGGGGAGAAGAGUUGGCUUUGUAAAAAAAGUGUCUAAGAAGUAUGUAUGUAUAGGAAAGGGUCUUUGUCUCAUUCUCAAGUUAUUCUUCAUACAUUUAAUUUUGUACAAAUUUUAGUUCUUUAAAUGUCUAUGCUGAUUUCACUAGGAUACGUGUCACUUCAGGUAUUCAUUUGUUUAAACAUUCUUUCCUGAAAAUGAGAGUUUUUAACUGUGCCUUGGAUUUAAUGCUUUGCAAGUUGCUUUUUUUUU